GACGUAGGGCGCGAGCGUUGUCCGGAUUUCUUGGGCGUAAAGAGCUCGUAGGCGGCUUGUCGCGUCGUCCGUGAAAACCUGCAGCUCAACUGCAGGCUUGCGGUCGAUACGGGCAGGCUAGAGUUCGGUAGGGGAGACUGGAAUUCCUGGUGUAGCGGUGAAAUGCGCAGAUAUCAGGAGGAACACCGGUGGCGAAGGCGGGUCUCUGGGCCAUUACUGACGCUGAGACGCGAAAGCGUGGGGAGCGAACAGG
rnacentral:rRNA from 1 species